GAUGAACGCUGGCGGCGUGCCUAAUACAUGCAAGUCGAGCGAACAGACGAGGAGCUUGCUCCUCUGACGUUAGCGGCGGACGGGUGAGUAACAUGUGGAUAAUCUACCUAUAAGACUGGGAUAACCUCGGGAAACCGGAGCUAAUACCGGAUAAUAUCUUGAACCGCAUGGUUCAAUAGUGAAAGACGGUUUUGCUGUCUCUUCUAGAUGGAUCCGGGCCGCUUUAGCUAGUUGGUAAGGUAACGGCUUACCAAGGCAACUAUGCGUAGCCGACUUGAGGGGGGGGUCGCCGGCACGGGAACGUGGACGCGCUCAUGGCUCCUGAGAGAGGCAGCAGAAGGGAAUCUUCCGCAGUAGGCGAAAGCCUUACGGAACAACGCCGCGUGAGUGGUGAAGGUCUUCGGAUCGUAAAACUCUGUUAUGAGUGAAGAACAAAUGUGGAAGUAGCUAUGCACGUCUUGACGGUACCUAAUCAGAAAGCCACGGCUAACUACGUG
rnacentral:rRNA from 1 species